UCACUACUAGAAAAAUGUAUCAGGUGAGCCAGAUGUUUCUAAUUGUUUUGUUUUGGAUGUUUAUAGUUUGUUAUUGAGAAGGAGAGAAGAGGAGAUUAUGGAAGAGGAGAGGUCAAGCUCGGGCAGCCUUGGGGGAGUUUGUUGAGGCUAUUGAAGAUUUGACUAAGGCUUUAGAGUUUGAAACCAACUCAGCAGAUAUUUUACAUGAGAGAGGGGAUAUUGAGUCCAUGCCUUUUAUUGAAGCACUGCUGGAACCGUAUUUAUGCAGUUUAAUUUGUUAAUUUCAUGUGUUGCAGCAGAGCCUAAUUUGAAGGAGUCGACUGCAAGGAAAAAAAUUUAUGACAGAUGUGAUGAAACUUGGCCAAUGUGGAGCUUACAACAAUUGUUACGUGCCUCAGGUUAGAAUUCCAAUGGUGGGAAAAUACACAGGCCUUUCAGAUGCAU